rnacentral:tRNA from 2 species
CGGGGCGUAGCGCAGCCUGGUAGCGCACCUGCUUUGGGAGCAGGAGGUCGCCCGUUCGAAUCGGGCCGCCCCGACCA